rnacentral:rRNA from 2 species
GAAGAGGCUGCGGCUAACUACGUGCCAGCAGCCGCGGUAAUACUUAGGGCGCUAGCGUUGUUCGGAAUUACUGGGCGUAAAGCGGGUGUAAGCUGUUGCUGGUACGUCGGGUGUGAAAGCCGGGAGGCUCAACUUGGGAACUGCACUCGAGACUGAACGUCUGGAUUGCUGUAGAGGCUGGUUGAAUUCCGGGUGUACAAGUGAAAUGCAUAUAUAUGUGGAGGAACACCAUUGGCGAAGGCGGCUACCUGGACCUGUACUGACGCUCAGGUCCUAAAGCGUGGGGAGCAAACAGGAUUAGAUACCCUGGUAGUCCACGC